UAGGGAAUCUUCCACAAUGGACGCAAGUCUGAUGGAGCAACGCCGCGUGAGUGAAGAAGGUUUUCGGACCGUAAAGCUCUGUUGUUGGUGAAGAAGGAUAGAGGUAGUAACUGGCCUUUAUUUGACGGUAAUCAACCAGAAAGUCACGGCUAACUACGUGCCAGCAGCCGCGGUAAUACGUAGGUGGCAAGCGUUGUCCGGAUUUAUUGGGCGUAAAGCGAGCGCAGGCGGAAGAAUAAGUCUGAUGUGAAAGCCCUCGGCUUAACCGAGGAAUUGCAUCGGAAACUGUUUUUCUUGAGUGCAGAAAGAGGAGAGUAGAAACUCCAUGUGUAGCGGUGGAAAUGCGUAGAUAUAUGGAAGAAUACCAGUGGCGAAGGCGGCUCUCUGGUCUGCAACUGACGCUGAGGCUCGAAAAGCAUGGGUAGCGAACAGGGAUUAGAUACCCUGGUAGUCCAUGCCGUAAAA
rnacentral:rRNA from 1 species